GUGUAGGAUAGGUGGGAGGCUAUGAAACCGGAACGCUAGUUUCGGUGGAGCCGUCCUUGAAAUACCACCCUGGUUUGUUUGAGGUUCUAACCUUGGCCCGUGAUCCGGGUCGGGGACAGUGCAUGGUAGGCAGUUUGACUGGGGCGGUCUCCUCCCAAAGCGUAACGGAGGAGUACGAAGGUACGCUAGGUACGGUCGGAAAUCGUGCUGAUAGUGCAAUGGCAUAAGCGUGCUUAACUGCGAGACCGACAAGUCGAGCAGGUGCGAAAGCAGGUCAUAGUGAUCCGGUGGUUCUGUAUGGAAGGGCCAUCGCUCAACGGAUAAAAGGUACUCUGGGGAUAACAGGCUGAUACCGCCCAAGAGUUCAUAUCGACGGCGGUGUUUGGCACCUCGAUGUCGGCUCAUCUCAUCCUGGGGCUGUAGCCGGUCCCAAGGGUAUGGCUGUUCGCCAUUUAAAGAGGUACGUGAGCUGGGUUUAAAACGUCGUGAGACAGUUUGGUCCCUAUCUGCCGUGGGCGUUGGAUAUUUGAAGGGGGCUGCUCCUAGUACGAGAGGACCGGAGUGGACGAACCUCUGGUGUACCGGUUGUCACGCCAGUGGCAUCGCCGGGUAGCUAUGUUCGGAAGAGAUAACCGCUGAAAGCAUCUAAGCGGGAAACUCGCCUUAAGAUGAGAUAUCCCUGGAGGCUAGACCUCCUUGAAGGGUCGUUCGAGACCAGGACGUUGAUAGGUCAGGUGUGUAAGCGCAGUAAUGCGUUCAGCUAACUGAUACUAAUUGCCCGUAAGGCUUGAUCCUAUAACA
rnacentral:rRNA from 1 species